rnacentral:lncRNA from 10 species
GUCUUAAGGAGGUAAUUAAGAUCACGUUGCACAGGGUACAUAAAGCUGAAUCAUCUGGGGGAAGUUUGCUAAAGACACAGAAUGCAAAGCCCCAUCUCACUCUUCUUGAAUCAGAAUGGCUGACUGUGGUGCUCAGGAAUUUGCAUGUUUAAUAAGUUUUCCCCGGGUGAUUCUAAUGAAUGCAACUUGAGUACUGUUUAGUAUAUGCUGAGUAUACCUGGAGCUUUGAUGUGCUGCAGGGAUUAGAAGAGUUUUCUGAUUUUGACCUUCCCAUUUUGAAAUAAGUAGAUUCACCAUUUUUUUUUUUUUUGGGAUGGAGUCUCACUCUGUCGCCCAGGCUGGAGUGCAGCGGCGCGAUCUCUACUCACUCACUGCAACCUCUGCCUCCUGGGUUCAAGAGAUUCUUCUGCCUCAGCCUCCUGAGUAGAGAUGGAGUUUCGCCAUGCUGGCCAGGCUGGUCUCGAACUCCUGACCUCGUGAUCCACCCACCUCGGCCUCCCAAAGUGCUAGGAUUACAAGCGUGAGCCACUGUCCCCCGCAAGUAGAUUCACUUUUACAUGACAAAGAAGACUUUGUCACUCCUCCUCCCAUUCAUUAGUCACUAAUUCAAAGAGGAAGUUGGGACCAAAAGUCAUGCAUCUGAGAGGCUGCCAUGAUUUCUCCCCAAAACACAUUGGCAGGUGUAAAAUUAUUGAAUGAACCCAUCCCACAUGUGGGCUGUGUUUCUGGCUGGGUUUGACCCACAUGCAUGUCUGUGGGCUGCUCUGUCUAGACUCUUCAAUAUUCCAGCCACAUUUUGUGCCUUAGAAUGAAAUUGCUGUCGAGAUAUUGAUCUCCGUUUUUGUCGGGGUGCAGGAAUUUUAUUCUAUGUUGUCAGGAUCCCCUCUGGAUGGUGUAAUAAUAUUGUGAGAUAGUUCUUUAGCAUAUCUUUAAAUCUUCAUAUUUAUUUUGAAAAAAUUAGAAAUUUUAGAAAUAUGCAUUCAUUUUUUGCACCAUCUAGAAUUAACAACUGAUAGUAUUUUGACUUAUUGGCUUCCUUUUUUAAAUAAAAAAUUAAAAUAUUACAGAUAUAGCUUAUGUCCUUGUACUUAUCAGAUCUACCACCCCUACUUCAAUUCCAUUUUCUUCUCAUCUUGCCAAAGCCACCUACUCUCCAAAGCUUGGCACAUGUCCCUUUGUUCCAUUUGAAAAUAAUUUAAAUACAUAUAUCCACAUGUACACAGUAUCUAGUAUUGUUUUCGUGUUUUCAAAAUUUCUCACACACAUGGCAUAAACUUUUUCUUAUCAUUCUGUAUCUUGUCUUUCUCACUCAGUCUUUGGCUCUUGAGUCUAU